UUCUUUGGAAACAUUGUUGGGUCCCUUGUGGUUGGCUGGUUGGUGGAGAGAUUUGGCAGGAAAGGUGCAUUAGUGAUAACUAACUUUUUAUGCAUUACCUCUUCUGUGAUAUUGCUUUUUUCACGUAAGUUAAGAUUCUAUGGAUGCAUCCUCUUCACCUUCUUCUAUAGUGGAAUGUGUUCAGGAAUAAUCUUCUGUGUUGUCCCUCUGUAUCUUCUUGAGAUUUCCCCUAAAAGCCUGAGGGGAGGCAUAACCAUGAUGCACCAUCUGUUUUCUUCUCUCGGUUAUCUGUUGUUUGAGAUACUUGCUCUUCAGCAACUUCUUGGGGCUGAA